rnacentral:rRNA from 1 species
UACGGAGGGUGCAAGCGUUAUCCGGAUUUACUGGGGUUAAAGGGUGCGCAGGCGGAUAUGUAAGUCAGUGGUGAAAUCUCCAGGCUUAACCUGGAAAUUGCCGUUGAUACUAUAUAUCUUGAAUGCUGUGGAGGUAAGCGGAAUAUGUCAUGUAGCGGUGAAAUGCUUAGAUAUGACAUAGAACACCAAUUGCGAAGGCAGCUUACUACACAGUUAUUGACACUGAGGCACGAAAGCGUGGGGAUCAAACAGG